rnacentral:lncRNA from 1 species
UACAUAUAUAAUUCUAUAAUAUAUAUUAUUUAAUACAUUAAACAUUUCAAUAAAUAUUUAAAAAAUCAAAAAUAAUAUUAAUUCGAACUUGUAUAAAUAUCUAAAACAUCAGCUUUCUGUAGAUAGAAGAAUCAAUAUACUCAAACAAUACACAAUCCAUAAUUUAACGAAGUCUAUCUAAAUGCAUUAUACAUCCAGGACCAACAGAGACUAGAACAACUUCAGCUUGCUGUGCACCACUUCAGCAAUCACCAGACCACCUGCAAGCCUGCAUCAGCAGCCCAGCAAGUCCAGCACUCCAGCUACAAGCCUACACCAUCAAGGAGGCAUUAAUAUUUUGACCACUUAAAGACCAAACUGAAGUGUUCCCUAAACAACAUCUAUGAUGAAAGAGCAAAAAGAACUCAUCAGAUCUAAACACAAGGAUGCAUCACACACAAAUCCUGUAGUUGAACAAAGAAAUGAGUAGAGUAUCUAUCCAACAACUACCCUGCAUUACUAGCUAUAGUUUUAAUAAUGCUAAAUAUACAAUGGUGCAAGUUAUAAGAAUUUUGAAACUUGAAAGUGCCAACAAUAUAAUUAGCUAAAAUGAACUUAAUUAAUAAUCUCACAAAGUUUAAGACUCAAUUCCCAAGAAAAAGGAUUCAUGCCCACCUAGAUCAAAAAUAAUAUAUUUACCUUGCCAUACUCAUAACAUGUAUACAAAUUGCAAAUUAAACUUGUGGGCAGGGGUAAGAGAAAUUUACUGUACCUCCUGAAUUGCCACUAGAGCUUCAACUUGCCAACGUGUGACUGAGGGGGCUAGACUGUAGCUAUUCUCCAUUACAUGUUACAAAUUAUGAAGACCUUAAACACUAAUUGCAUGAACCACAAGGAGUCAUGUCAACAAAUAAAAUAGCAAAAAUACAGCUACUAGUAGUUAACCUAAGAGUUGAAUUUGCAGUAAAAAGUGUGUAACAUGUGCUUAUGUUACAAGAAGUAUUAGGCACAAUUGAAUCCUAAUUAUAAUCCGUAAGUCUGCAUUUGGGUAUUUGUUCUUUCGGUCAUACAAAGCCUCACCUCAAAAGAAAGGAAAAUAAUAGUUAUACUGCUUUAAAGUUUUUCUACAAUAAGGCAAGGAAGAAGGUGAAUGAUCCUGCCCUAAGAUCAGCAAAAAAAUAAGCAAAAAGUGCACCUAAACAACAAUAAUUCAUCACAUUAGUGUUUAAUCAAGAGUUUUAACUACCACAUAAAUGUAGUCAUAAUAUAUCAAUGCACCUGGGUAUUAUAUUUAGAAAAUUAACAGAAUUCACGUGUUUAAGUAUAUGCAUAAGCUUUCAUGGUAUACGGUACAUUACUGAAAUGAGUAUCCAAAGUGUUCUUAAAUCAUAUCACAACAGUUCUUCUCAGCCUACAAUUAAGGUAUUUCUACAUUUAAGGUGAUUAUAUUAGGACUAUUAUGUAUAAACUAUGAAAACCUACAACUUCUUCAAUAAUAGUCUUUGAAGAAAUUCAAUAGAUUAAACAAAUAUAAAAAUUAGAUAGGUUCGCUCAUUGAUCAUUGGGGCUUCCUAAAAAGAUCUACUAAAUUCAUCGUGCUGUCAAGACAUUAUAUGUAAAAUCUUCUAGUAUUAACAAAUAUGAGUUCGUAGCAGACCUUGAAGUAUUUGAAGAAUGCAGUUGUAACAACAGUUCACAAAAGUAAAAUUAAGCAAGCAAUCCUUAGGAAACAGAAUAAGAAGAAAAGGCCUAAAACAGUUCUCUGGCCCUUUCUUUUCUCUUUAUUUUUCUUUAUACAUAAAAGUGUGGCAUUUCAAAAUUUAAUUGUAAGAAUUUUCCUUAAAAAAAUGUUCUUCUAAUGUCGUGGUAAUUGGGCAAUUCAAAAAACUCCCCUACAUCAGAUUUUGACAGAAACCUAAUAAACCAAAGCCAAAUCAAGUUAAAGAUGAACUGAUGGCGAACACCAGAUAUGCUGAAAUAGAUCUGAUCAGAAUAUAAAUCUGGAAUAACUAGGACAACAUUAUCAAGUUAUUAUACCAACUUGGUGGCAUCUAGAUAACUAUUCUUUAAUUAUGAUUUUCAAGUGAUGGUUGUCAACAAAAUGCUCACAAUUCCGUGUUUCACUUGAAACAUAAUACAAAAAUUACCUUAAAAUUAAGUUAGUGAUUUCUUUCCAGAACACUACUUCUCCAGAAACCAAAUUAAAAGUGUAUACAUAGCUUGUUUAGUGACUGCCCUGCUACCUAUAUUUUUGACAGCUCCAACUUAAGCUAUCUUAAUGUCCUGCAAAGGUUUCUAAUUACGCCACCUCCUACUUGGCUUUGUGAAUCAGCUAUAACCCACUCAAAGUAACCCAUUAUCUUGUAUUUCUUAGAAUAAUAUUAUCAUUUAUUAUAUUUUUUUUAGUAUACCAUUACUUACUUACAAAUACAUUACAUAAUUACAAUAUAUAUAUUAUACCUUUUCCACACAUAAUGUAUAUCAUUUAAUAACCAAUACAUAUAUAAACAAUUAUUAUACUUCACUAAUUUUACACUAAUUGCAUUAUUUAAUUUUCAGUUAAGUAAUUAAAUUAGUCUACAGUUAAGUUAGUUUUUGUAUAUGAAAACUCCACAACUUAUUGUAACUUAGUAUUACAUCUAAUAGAAUGAAGACAAAAAUCAGUGGCCUGGGAAUCAUUAAAGAUAAAAGAAAACACACACAACACAGGAAAAGAACUGUAUAGCUGACAAAGAGGUUACCUAAACCAUUUUACAAGUCAAAAGAAACUACUAAAUAGUAAAUACACAUCGUAUCCAUCCAUAGACUGCUAACCUAAUUCAGUAACUAUUAGGAACAUACUAUUUUACCACAACCCCUUAUUUAUAUUAUGUUUCCAUGUUAUACUUACCAGCUUUUGGCCAAUUAUGUGUGUAAUUACAUUAAGGUCAGCCUAACCAAUUCAUGUUUGAAAAAGCAAAUGAAAGAUUCAGUUUUAAGCAUCUGAUCUGGAAUGGAUUAAGAGUAAAAACAAUGUACAAAAUACAUAAAAGCUUGCUCUUUAAAAGCUUCCUUAGGAUAUGAAUUCAAAACCUCAAAAAUAUACACUUAGUAUGAUUUUCAGUUGACUAGUUUUCAAGAAAAAUCCUUGAAACAAUUUUAAAUUCCUUUCCAAACAUCCAAACCACUUAAGUUAGCCUAUAACUCAUAUAUGCACAUGAAACAUCAACAAUAAACCAUGAAUUUUCAUGUUUUAAUCAAACUAACCUCUUAGAGUCGUUUUUACAAACACCUAACAUGCAUAUCUUUAAAACUUAGUUUUCAUUUGAAUUCUAACAUAUUAACAUUCAAUCCCCAACCACACCAUCCUUAUACCUUCGGAAUCCUUCGUGAUCCCCCAUUCACAACCAACUCUCACAACAAUAAUACAACCAUAAUACAUAUUAUAUAUUACAAUUCUCUAAAUUUAUCAAGGAGUGGAAUAUCCUUUGUUAUGUGUUUAAAUUGACUGAAUACUUACCUUACUUUGCUUAACAAUUGAGUUGAAUCCCUCCCUAGAUACUCUUUUGCUCUAAAUCUUCUUCAAUCCCUUCUUAGGAUAUCAAUUGCUAGCUAUCUGUUAUGGGUUUUGGUGAAGGUACCUUGUCCAAGGCUUAAGAGAGAGAGUUUGAGCUAGGUUUCUUAGAAGCAAUUGAGUUGAACACUUGCGGGCUUCGGGGAGGAAGUGAACUGAUAUUGUUAGUAGCUUAUUCAUUGAGAAAUGCUAGGUGUCUCCUCCUAGCUCACACACCUCCUCUUUAAUUAUUACUCAGCAUUCAACUAAUACAAUAAUACAUAUAUGUUAUAAAAGAUUACUAAAAUUAAGAACAAAAAGAUUACUAAAAUUAAGAAUAAAGAUGAUUAGAAAAAAGUGAG